rnacentral:rRNA from 1 species
UACGAAGGGGGCGAGCGUUGUUCGGAAUUACUGGGCGUAAAGGGCGCGCAGGCGGCCCUUGAAGUCAGGCGUGAAAGCCCCGGGCUCAACCUGGGAGGUGCGCUUGAUACUCGAGGGCUUGAGUGCGGGAGAGGAGAGUGGAAUUCCCAGUGUAGAGGUGAAAUUCGUAGAUAUCGGGAGGAACACCGGUGGCGAAGGCGGCGAUCUGGGUAGAUACUGACGCUGAGGUGCGAAAGCGUGGGGAGCAAACAGG